rnacentral:rRNA from 1 species
CAGUAGCCACGGGAAUACGGAGGGCGCGAGCGUUACCCGGAUUUACUGGGCGUAAAGGGCGUGUAGGCGGCCUGGGGCGUCCCAUGUGAAAGGCCACGGCUCAACCGUGGAGGAGCGUGGGAUACGCUCAGGCUAGAGGGUGGGAGAGGGUGGUGGAAUUCCCGGAGUAGCGGUGAAAUGCGCAGAUACCGGGAGGAACGCCGAUGGCGAAGGCAGCCACCUGGUCCACUUCUGACGCUGAGGCGCGAAAGCGUGGGGAGCAAACCGGAUUAGAUACCCGCGUAGUCCCUGUCUCUUAUAC